rnacentral:rRNA from 1 species
GACGAACGCUGGCGGCGUGCUUAACACAUGCAAGUCGAACGGAAAGGCCCUGCUUGCAGGGUACUCGAGUGGCGAACGGGUGAGUAACACGUGGGUGAUCUGCCCUGCACUUCGGGAUAAGCUUGGGAAACUGGGUCUAAUACCGGAUAGGAGCCAUCUUUAGUGUGGUGGUUGGAAAGUUUUUUCGGUGUAGGAUGAGCUCGCGGCCUAUCAGCUUGUUGGUGGGGUAAUGGCCUACCAAGGCGGCGACGGGUAGCCGGCCUGAGAGGGUGUACGGCCACAUUGGGACUGAGAUACGGCCCAGACUCCUACGGGAGGCAGCAGUGGGGAAUAUUGCACAAUGGGCGCAAGCCUGAUGCAGCGACGCCGCGUGGGGGAUGAAGGCCUUCGGGUUGUAAACUCCUUUCGCUAGGGACGAAGCUUUGUCGUGACGGUACCUAGAUAAGAAGCACCGGCUAACUACGUG